rnacentral:rRNA from 1 species
UACGAAGGGGGCUAGCGUUGCUCGGAAUUACUGGGCGUAAAGCGCACGUAGGCGGCUUCUCAAGUCAGGGGUGAAAUCCUGGAGCUCAACUCCAGAACUGCCUUUGAUACUGGGAGGCUCGAGUCCGGGAGAGGUGAGUGGAACUGCGAGUGUAGAGGUGAAAUUCGUAGAUAUUCGCAAGAACACCAGUGGCGAAGGCGGCUCACUGGCCCGGUACUGACGCUGAGGUGCGAAAGCGUGGGGAGCAAACAGG